CCGCGCCCGCCUCCUUGCCCUGCCGCCGGCCGCCGCCACCGCCAUCUCCUUCAUCCAGCCGGCCGCCGCCUUGGCCGCCUCGUGGUGGAAGACGGCAGCCGCCUUGGCCAGCUCGUGGUGGAACACCUAGCAGCUGCUGUCGUGGUGGAAGACCUAGCCGCUGGCUUCGUCCGCACUCGCGCCCCCACCCUUCCUCUCCUCAUCGCGCCGCCACCAUCCCUUCUCCUUCGGCCUCGCCUCUUCCUCCCUUCCCUGGCCUAGGGUUUGGUGGGUGAGCUCAGUGUCGUCUGACAAUGGUGGACAAGGAGAUCCGGCAUGAACCACGCACAGGGAGGAGCUCGACCUCUACUGCCUAUGCGUGCCCCCAGGAGCUUUCAUGUGAUAGUGGUUUGGAAGAAGAUGAAUGACAGGAAUGAUUGCUGGAAGCAAAAUCAAGCGUUCUUCCUUAACUUGACGAGCGCAGUCAGUAGUGGACCGGGAGCCAUGCCUGUCUGCCUGGACACUUCCAAUGGGAUAAAUGUUAGAACCUAAAGUAUGGAGGUCCAAUGGUUGUGGAGUGGUCAUACCCUGAGUUACAGAUGCUUAAUGACGGCCUUCCAUAAGGGGAUGGAUCCCAAGGGGAGAGGUGCUGUUCUCCAAAGCUGCUGGAUCCUAAAAUAAAGCUCGCCUCCGCGCAUGAGGAAGGCGAUGCCAUUAUGCCUAGGCUACCACGGUGCCAAACAAGGAUGUUGUUCAGCCUGUCACCUAACACCAUCAAGGAGGAGGAGCGUGGCCGAAAGACGGCGGCCAGUCCAACCACGUGCUCACUUCACCCCCUUCUCCCUUCCAAUUUUGGAUUUCAUCUGGACGCCGCCGUCGUCGUGGUUGCCUCGCCGUCGUGGCUCGGGUGCCCAUUGUGAUACUCAAAACCUGGUAAAUAAUAUUUUUUAUCACUGAAUGUUUGACAUGACCCCAUUAUCUACAGAAGUAAAUUCUAGCACAGAAGCCAUAUUGUAGAUUGAAGAGUUUCAGGUUGACAAGGUAAUAAUAUUGUCAGUAUGUUCAUGUUUAUGGUUAGAUUUAAAUCAUAGUAUUUCUCAGAGAAAUAUUUUAUGGUCAUAUGGCAGUCACAAACUGAUUUAAACUGGGCAUUAAUAUGCAAUAAGAAUGGCCUAUUACCUGGUUGAGAUGUACAAUAUGAAAAGUAUCCAUUAUAAUUAAGGGUUUAGAAUCUGCUACUCCUUGGUUUGUUGUGGAUCCAUGAUGUUUUAGUGUGCUUCAUAUAGAUGGCCAACUGUAGUUGCCAUUGUGGUAGGUGGGGAACUUAAUAAUAGUUGCAUUUCAUUUCUCUAUUUGCUUUGACAUAAAUAGUAAGAGAGGGUUCUGAACCAAAGGAUCAGUUCCUCAAUUCUGCACUUCGUCAUGAGAAGCAGAGCUCCCUUGUGCCACUCUCUCUACAAAGGUGAUUCUUGCUCCCAUUCAUGGUUUGGUUUGCAAAAUUAGUUGGAGUUGUGAUUAACUAGCAGUUCUUAAAUAUAUGUGCUUUCAUUAAGAAGAAUAAGCUACCGUGCUAGAUUAGUUGAUCCAGGGCUUAAGUUCCGAGCUCAAAGUUUUUUAUUGCAUCGGUUUAACUCUCAUGUAGUUUUGUGUAUUACUGUAUUAUAUGUAGAAGAAAUAAUAAUAAGAUUGAUCCCUUCACUUUUUCUGCAGAAAGUGUACUCUACAAGCCUAUCAAAUCUGUGCUGUUUGUAGAAGUGCAACACCAUGCAUCAGUCGCGCUGGAGCCGGACAAGAUCACGGCUUGCCUUACCUGGUGACGUACUGGCUAGGAAGAGUGCAAGCUGCCGCCCACACAUACCAGAUGGUGCCGUCAAGGACGUUGUCGUACUGACUGCCGAUGAUCUACAGCCACUUGCGAUAUGUUCAGCGGAUCACCAUGUCAAGGAAUGAGCAGUUAGAGAGGAGUCUUUUCGCCAAAAGUAAGGCAACGCGGCGGAGGCCAUGCGCUCAACUGGGAGGCGGAGCUCGCCUCCCCCAAUGACGAUGGCUUCAACUUCAAGUUGAAUUGGGAGGCCAAUUUCAAGCCCGGCGCCGCCGGCAAGGCCGAAACCAAAUGAUGCACCGAGGAAGCCAACGAGGAUGACAAGAAGAAGCCGGCAAGGAAGUGCGUCCAGAUCGAGGAGAUCCCCGCCGGCUGCGACAUUCAGAUCGAGGUACUCAACAGAAAAGAUGAAAUUUUUGUGAUGAAAUGUGGGAUUUCCAGUACUCCAGUAGAUUAAAUGGUGAAAUGUGGGAGUAGAUUCAAUAGAAAGAUUGUAGUAACUUACUCCAGUAGCUUAGAUGGAACUUCGUUGUUUUGGAAUUUCCAGUAGCUUAAAGAUUGCAGUAGAUUUCCAAUAAAAUCUUGUCUGAGUGCUGUUUGCUUGGUUCCUAUGAAUCUUAAUCUUGGGUGUGUGUCUCUGAAUUUCCGGUCCACGACGUCGCCAUGGAUGCCGGCGCUGCGCCUGCACCUCCGGUUGGUCCUCCCUGACCCCGUCCGAACCCUCUCGCACUGCAUUGCCUCCUGGUCGUUAUUCCAGUGGGACCACCGUCCUUGCGUUCGUGCACCUCUAGGAAGAAGACUGCUCGAGGAAAACAACAUGAAUGAGAUUAAGAGAUUUAAUGAAGAGAUAUGCCAGGAUUAGGCGGAGAUGAUAAAAGACUUUGUAAAAGUCAGAAUAAUUGGUUGAACUGCUUUUGGAAGAGGCGGCAGGAAGCAUAGAAACCAUGAUGUCCAUGGAGAUUCAAAGUACGGAAAGAUGGAAGAGAUAUGUUUUGAGCUUUCCAUAGAGCCGGCCAAUGAAAAAACGCUGGUUUAUAGAACACAUCGUUUCUUCACAAUUUGACUACUACGGUCACCGAAUCCUUGGAGCAAGUAACCAGCCAAGGUUGCUUCAGCUAAGGGUUGCAGAUGUUUUGUUUGGCUUGCAUGAAUUAAACCAUGCUUCCAGUUUUAAAGUACACUUGAGCCACAGUUGCUAAUAGUUUCAAGCUGAUGUUUGAUUCCCUUGCAUGAAUUGAACAUGCUACUCUGAAAUCAGAGAGCAGACAACUGUAGGUUUAUUUUUUUGUUAAAGCAUAGUAGCUACUAGCUACUGUAUAUGCAAUGCGAGCAGAUUGUAAAAUAUGCAAACCCCUGAUGUAUACUAGGAAGUGUUUGUUCAUUAGUAUGGAAACAUGUGUCGUAGUGUCUAGGACCCACCAGGUGAGCUGAUCCACCCUUUAGUUGUCCACCUUUUACUUUUAGCGUUUACUUUUCUUGUCCUUUUCUACGGAUUUUCAUUAUUUCUCUUCUUUAUAUGUUCAAAUUGUAAAGGAGGUAAAAUGCACAUGUAUGUCCUUGAUGUAGAUCUCUGUGAUUUAUAUAUGUGCUCACGAGGACAUUCCCAUUGCAUCUGAAUUGACAAGUUGAAGAAUCUGGUCAUUUUGUGCUUGCCUACAGAACUGAUAUUUGUUGGCCAAACAAAAACGACUGAUGGUUGAUUGUCUCAACCACGAAUGAGCAUUUCUGGAUUGUAGAACAAAGAGUGUCCCGGGCAAAAGGACCAAGUUCUGGCAGGUGGGCAUCGGGAAUCCAGCUGGUUGGCUUCAGCCUUUGGGGUGCUGCCGGCUAGCGGCGCCGCUUCUGAGUGUCCCCUCAUCUGACUCCCGUGGCACCUUCGACCGGGAAAGGCUGCGUACAAUAGACCCAAAGUGGUCGGACCCUUCCCUGGACCCUGCGCAAGCGGGAGCUACAUGCACUGGGUUGCCUUUUUUUAAUACCUCUCAUGUAUGUCCGCGAAUUAAUUAUUUCUUGCAGUUUAUAGUAGUAAUUGGAAGAUAUUUAUAGAGUUAGGUACGUUUUUGUUGGUUACCAAAUGAGCACAUAUCAUUUGGAUACAUGACGUGAUCUGUAGCUAUACAGGUUAAUUAGUAAUUAGGUUAUACCACAUCAGUGUAUUUUAAUCUAUAGGGUUGUGAAUGAUUAAGAUUCAUUAGAAUCUAACUUGAAAUCUGGCAGGUCUAUCUUAUUCCAUAAAAGAAGAAAGAUAGAAAAUUUAAUUUAGGUUGGUAGUUACCAUUCACUACAAUUUAGAGAUUACAAUAUUUCCAAAUCUGUACAGUUUAGACAUUAUGUACGUUGACUCACUUUAACUGAAACUGAAGACUGUUGCAUGGUCGUACAUGUGCUUACUUGAUGUUGUGCUAAGCCAUUUUGUGAGAAAUUGAGAUUGAGAAAUGAUGUUAUGUUAUCGCUA